UGGCUUGAAUUUUGGCUCUCUGGUUAUGCUGUCCAGCGGGAGAGCGUGUGUGAGGACACUCACACUCGCAGUUGGUAGCUAGGUAGUUAGUAGUCUUUUGAGGCGAGUAGAUACUGUACUGGACAUCGUCACACCGGAGCAAUGGCAUUAUUUUGAAUGUGGAGAGAUUGGAAAAGGAAGCUGUGGCAAGGAAGGCUUUCUUGCUCCAGCCUCCCUGCUGCCCCCCACCAACCAGUCUGACAGUCAAGUCAAGGUUCCAAGGAGGUCGGAAAGACCCAGAGCAAAGCCCACCUGCAUAUCCUCUUUUCCAGCAGCAUGUUGGUGUGCAUCCCCAUCACCCUAACCAUGUCGAUGGUCACGGUCAGGGUAAAGACAUGCCUCUUCCCCUCGGCUCCUCUACACCCUCCCUUGGUUCCUGGAGAGCUACCGUCCUGCAAAUCCAACCCUAAUCUAAUGCGUCUGAUUUUAAUAAUUAGUUGGUUGAUAAACUGGGUCAGAUUAGUUACAACUGGAGUUGGAGCGAAAAUCUACAGGAGGGUAGAUGGCACUCUCCGCUGGUGCUGUUUCCUAACAUGGUUUGCAGCUGUAUGAGGGCUGUCCUGAAGUACCUGUACACUGGCUUAUGUUCCCGCACUGACCUGUUCUUGCCAACUGUCUUUGCUUCCUACACCAGGUUUAAGGUCCCUACAGUGCGCCAACCUCAUGCUGUCGAGUGAGACCAGGCCCCCAGUGUCCGGUCUGGAGUGUGAAGUCACAAGCUCUGUUGGUCGGCUACUGCGAUUCCUGGUUCGAAUCAACCCAAGAUGAUGAACCCUGAAGAUGGGACAAAUUGCAUGACAAGGUGGCCCAGAGGAAGCCAGCUGUUCUCAACCCCUACAUUGCCCCUUUCUUCCAAGAGCUCACUGAGUUUGAAUGAAGAUCUCUAGUGAGGGGUGAGAAGAGCUGACAAAUCAGAACUGAGGAGGAUUGUUACAGAGCCUCAUGAGGAACACCUGAUGCUGCGCUGACUUCUGUCUUCUGGAUGCUCUCCUGCCCAAACUCUCCCAUUGUGUGGUUCACCGCCUCUGAACCCCCUUACCCCGAAUAGAGAUGCCCCUGAUCAUAGAUCUAGGAUUGUACCCAAUCCCAAUUGUAACUCCAUCUCCCUUUUUCUUUUUGUUUCUCUCUCCCCCACACCGACAGGAACACAAUAUAGUUUUUAAAUUAGUGUUGUAUUGAUGUUCUUAUUUGGUUACAUAUGUGUUGUUACUUCUAUUGUCAAUUCUGUUGUUUAUUUGUUGUUACCAAUUUGAAUAUAUGUACUGUGUACAA